ACCUUCGUGGUGUAGUGGUUAGCACGCUUGACGCAAAACCAAGAGGUCCGUGGUUCGAUUCUCGGCGAAGGCU
rnacentral:tRNA from 1 species